rnacentral:rRNA from 1 species
GCGGUUUGGUACGUCGGGCGUGAAAACUCAGGGCUCAACCCUGAGCGUGCGUCCGAUACGGGCAGACUAGAGGUAUGCAGGGGAGAACGGAAUUCCUGGUGUAGCGGUGGAAUGCGCAGAUAUCAGGAGGAACACCGGUGGCGAAGGCGGUUCUCUGGGCAUUACCUGACGCUGAGGAGCGAAAGCAUGGGGAGCGAA